UAUUUAAAUAAUGCUCAUUAGCCUUUACAAUUUUGACAAAUUUCCAGAAACAAAAGAGCCGGAAAGCAAAUUUUAUUUGACCACCCUUCCUUCAUUAAUCAUCUUAUUUUUUGUCUUCUUUUUAGAUUGAAACUUUUCUCGUCUCAAGUUUUUCUAUGAGCCAUUUGCUCACUUUUCAACAUGGCAAGUCGAGGAAGGAUUAUUUUUGAGAAAUUAAGAGCCCUUGCCAUUGUUUCAACUGGCGGAUUCACCACUUUUUCUGCUCUCAACAUUUACAAUGAGAAUGAAAAGUAUUAUGAAAACUUCAUUGUACCUUUAAUGCACAAAGUCUCUCCUGAAACUGCGCACAAUUUAACAAUCAAAGCCUUGAAUAUGGACUCAUUCCAAAGUCAAAAUUUGUUGACCCACCUUCUCUGGUAACGGGUGUGUGGAAUUUGACAUUCCACAAUCCUGUGGGUAUAGCGCUGGCUUUGACAAACAAGGUGAUGCUAUUCAGGACUGUUUGACAUAGGAUUUGGCAUUGUUGAAGUUGGGUCUGUUACACCUUUACCUCAACCAGGAAACGAGAAACCUCGGGUAUUUCGUCUGGCUGUAGAUGAAGCAAUCAUAAAUAGGUGAGAUGUGAAUCGAGGACUAAGUAAUAGCUGUUUCUUUUUAUUAUUCUCUUUUAAUCUUUCAAAGUGUUAAGAAAAACUACUGCUCCACACACUGAACUCUUGGACUGCGUUGUAUUGAGUGUGAUUGUCUCUACAGUACACUGAUCAUUUUGUUAAGAAACAAGGAUGAUCAAUUUCCGAAAAGUAUUUUUAUACAACUUGGACGAUUUAUUGUCUACUUGCUGCUCCCUCCAUCAAGAACAAUAUAUUUUAGAAAGCAAACUCCAGGAAACAAAAGAGGUCUGUGUAACUACGUUUUUUUCAUCUGGAACACCCGCACAAAUGUUUGUCAUCUUGCUUGGGAGAAAAAAUUAAGAUGCAUCAUUUGUAUACAUUGAGUUAGUUGGUAUUUGUGUAGCGUUCCUCAAACAUUUUCUGCAGUGCAGUUCAAUUAAAUCAUUUUUGUAUUGCAGUGUAAUAUCGUUAUCUUCUUACUUUUGUUUAUAUCAGGUAUGGCUUUAAUAGCGAGGGCCAUGAAGCUGUCUACAAAAGAAUCCUAGAAUUCAAGGCAAACAGUAAAUCUCGUGGUUGUCUUGGCGUUAACCUAGGUAAAAACAAAACUUCAGAAAGCCUAAUUUCUGAUUAUGUCCUUGGUGUUCAAAAAUUUGGAGAAGUUGCAGACUAUCUAGUUAUAAAUGUAUCAAGGUAAGAUGUCUUCUGACACAAUGUUUUGAUUAUAUGUUUCCUCCUCUUGUCAUGAAGUAAUAUUCUGGUGGUUCAACCUCUUAAAUUAGGCAAAUCAAAGAUAACUUUUCUCUUGUCUUAUUUUUCUUCAGACAUCAUAGAAAGCCACGAAAAACUAAAAUUCCUACUACAUAUCAUAAACUUCAGUACACUAAAACUAUCUGUGCAAUGUUUUUUAUUAUUACUCCAUCAAAUACUUCGAUCAUGCAAAAUGACAUUAAUUUGUCAACUUGGUUGUUGAAAAUAUUGAGAGAUGAUGUACCUUUGUAGUUUGUUAAACUUUUGAUACAGUAAGAAUUAAGAAACUUACGCCCAACACAAAUUUUGUUCCCAUAAAUAACGCCUACUAGUUAAGCAGGCCCUUAGAAAUUUCAAGAUAUAGAUCAGAUACUUUUUAAAUAGCAGAUACAGAGAAUCAAAGCCUCUGAGCACAGUAUUACUUCAUUCCUACCCUGGAAGGUAAUUCAUCAUCAAAUCACAAUGAUGUACACUACUGACAAUUUUUUUCAAUCGACAAAAAUU
rnacentral:lncRNA from 1 species